AUUACAUUAGUAUAAUUGGAGUAUAUCUGAUUUCCAAUCAGGGGGUUGAAAGAAAUGUAAUU
rnacentral:tRNA from 1 species